rnacentral:misc_RNA from 1 species
GGAGAACCUGCGGCUGGAUCACCUCCUUUCUAUGGAGAAAUCUAGCAAACAUGGCGUUUGACUAGUACAAAGAUGCAAAGCAUCUAUGAAAAUUACAACUUGCUCAAAGGUUACUUAAUGAGUAUUGAUUCUGUUCAAUUUUGAAAGACUAGGUCUUUCAAUGUUCUUUGAAAAUUGCACAUAGAUUAAUGAAUAUAAUACAACAAAGCCAAGAAUAAUAUUCUUUGUGAAUGAUUAAUAUAACCAGUUUUGUAUAUCAAAACUUAAAAAGGUCAAGCUACAAAGGGCGCAUGGUGAAUGCCUUGGCAUCAGGAGCCGAUGAAGGACGUGAUAAGCUGCGAUAAGCUUCGGGUAGGCGCACAUAGCCAGAGAUCCGGAGAUUU